rnacentral:other from 1 species
UACGCCCUGCGGCGUUCGAGAAAGCUGUACGAUCCUUGAACCAAUAACGUGACGAUUGGUCGCCGACCCAGACGUCGCCUGUGUGCAUGUGCCCCGUGUACGUGCCUGAUGGUGACGGGAACGCGACCCUCCUGAACCGCAGGUUCAGGUCACACAGCCGGAUCGGCGCUGCGGGGCUCUU